AGAUUUUGAUCCUGGCUCAGGAUGAACGCCGGCGGUGUGCCUAAUACAUGCAAGUCGUACGCACUGGCCCAACUGAUUGAUGGUGCUUGCACCUGAUUGACGAUGGAUCACCAGUGAGUGGCGGACGGGUGAGUAACACGUAGGUAACCUGCCUCGGAGCGGGGGAUAACAUUUGGAAACAGAUGCUAAUACCGCAUAACAACAAAAGCCACAUGGCUUUUGUUUGAAAGAUGGCUUUGGCUAUCACUCUGGGAUGGACCUGCGGUGCAUUAGCUAGUUGGUAAGGUAACGGCUUACCAAGGCAAUGAUGCAUAGCCGAGUUGAGAGACUGAUCGGCCACAAUGGAACUGAGACACGGUCCAUACUCCUACGGGAGGCAGCAGUAGGGAAUCUUCCACAAUGGGCGCAAGCCUGAUGGAGCAACACCGCGUGAGUGAAGAAGGGUUUCGGCUCGUAAAGCUCUGUUGUUGGAGAAGAACGUGCGUGAGAGUAACUGCUCACGCAGUGACGGUAUCCAACCAGAAAGUCACGGCUAACUACGUGCCAGCAGCCGCGGUAAUACGUAGGUGGCAAGCGUUAUCCGGAUUUAUUGGGCGUAAAGCGAGCGCAGGCGGUUGCUUAGGUCUGAUGUGAAAGCCUUCGGCUUAACCGAAGAAGUGCAUCGGAAACCGGGCGACUUGAGUGCAGAAGAGGACAGUGGAACUCCAUGUGUAGCGGUGGAAUGCGUAGAUAUAUGGAAGAACACCAGUGGCGAAGGCGGCUGUCUGGUCUGCAACUGACGCUGAGGCUCGAAAGCAUGGGUAGCGAACAGGAUUAGAUACCCUGGUAGUCCAUGCCGUAAACGAUGAGUGC
rnacentral:rRNA from 1 species